rnacentral:rRNA from 1 species
GACGAACGCUGGCGGCGUGCUUAACACAUGCAAGUCGAACGGAAAGGCCCUGCUUUUGCGGGGUGCCCGAGUGGCGAACGGGUGUGUAACACGUGAGUAACCCGCCCUUGACUUUGUGAUAACUUCAGGAAACUGGUGCUAAUACCGGAUAGGAGCUCCUGCUGCAUGGUGGGGGUUGGAAAGCUUCGGCGGUUGUGGAUGGACUGGCGGGUUAUUAGCUUGUUGGGUGGGUAGUUGCUUACCAAGGCUUUGACGGGUAGCCGGCCUGGGAGGGUAGCCACGCACAUUGCGACUAAGGGAGGCAGCAGACUCCAACGGGAGGCAACAGGGGGGAAUAUUACACAGUGAGCGGGAGUCUGAGGAGGAAGCGCCGCGUGCGGGAUGAAGGCCUUCGGGUUGUGAACCGCUUUCGCCUGUGACGAAGCGUGAGUGACGGUAAUGGGUAAAGAAGCACCGGCUAACUACGUG